GACGAACGCUGGCGGCGUGCCUAAUACAUGCCAGUGGAACGCACAGUUUAUACCUUGGCUUGCUACACCAUAUACUGUGAGUUGCGCACGGGUGAGUAACGCGUAGGUAACCUGCCUGGUAGCGUGGGAUAACUAUUUGUAACGAUAGCUAAUACCGCAUACUAUUGAUUAUUGCAUGAUAAUUUAUUGAAAGAUGCUAUUGCAUCACUACCAGAUGGACCUGCGAUGUAUUAGCUAGUAGGUGAGGUAACGGCUCACCUAGGCGACGAUACAUAGCAGACCUGCGAGGGUGAGCGGCCACACUGGGACUGAGACACGGCUCAGACUACUACGGGAGGCAGCAGGAGGGGAUCUUCGGGGAUGGACGAAAGGGGGACCGAGCGACGACGGGUGAGUGAAGAAGCUUUUAGGGUCGUAAAAGUCUGGUAUGAGAGAAGAACGGGUAGGUGAGUGGAAAGGGCAGACAGUGACGGUACCUGACGAGAAAGCGACGGCUAACUACGUG
rnacentral:rRNA from 1 species